rnacentral:rRNA from 1 species
CCCUUAGAUGUCCUGGGCUGCACGCGCGCUACACUGGAAGUUACGGAUUGAGAUACUACCUUGUCCGAAGUGGUCCGGGUAAUCACCUAAAAGCUUGUCAUAAUUGGAAUGGAUUAUUGUAACUAGUAAUCCUGAACGAGGAAUUCCUAGUAAGUCCCAGUCAACAGCUGGUACUGAUUACGUCCCUGCCCUUUGUACACACCGCCCGUCGCUACUACUGAUUGGACGUUUAAGCAAGAUUUUUAAACACUGACAGUGUGUAGUUCACGCUAUACUACAGUGAGAAGAAGAAGAUCGAGCUUACUUGUCUAGAGGAAGUAAAAGUCGUAACA